CCUACGGGAGGCAGCAGUGGGGAAUUUUGGACAAUGGACGCAAGUCUGAUCCAGCCAUGCCGCGUGCGGGAAGAAGGCCUUCGGGUUGUAAACCGCUUUUGUCAGGGAGGAAACGGGUUUCUCUAAUACAGAGACCUAAUGACGGUACCUGAAGAAUAAGCACCGGCUAACUACGUGCCAGCAGCCGCGGUAAUACGUAGGGUGCAAGCGUUAAUCGGAAUUACUGGGCGUAAAGCGUGCGCAGGCGGUUAUGCAAGACAGAGGUGAAAUCCCCGGGCUCAACCUGGGAACUGCCUUUGUGACUGCAUAGCUAGAGUACGGUAGAGGGGGAUGGAAUUCCGCGUGUAGCAGUGAAAUGCGUAGAUAUGCGGAGGAACACCGAUGGCGAAGGCAAUCCCCUGGACCUGUACUGACGCUCAUGCACGAAAGCGUGGGGAGCAAACAGGAUUAGAUACCCUGGUAGUCCACGCCCUAAACGAUGUCAACUGGUUGUUGGGAGGGUUUCUUCUCAGUAACGAAGCUAACGCGUGAAGUUGACCGCCUGGGGAGUACGGCCGCAAGGUUGAAACUCAAAUGAAAUUGACCGGNUGAGAGNGCGAGACGACGACGAGGAGGAGG
rnacentral:rRNA from 1 species